UCGGAAGAUGUUCAGAACGAUCUUAUUACCUUAGGUUGUAUGUGAUAGUUGAUGGAAGGGCGGUACAGUGACGUGAAUCCAGAGGGUUUUACUCAUUUCCCCUUUUUUGUUCAUUUGGGUCUGCAUUUUCUGGAGAGAGCCAAUUGAAAAGGUUGCCUUAGAAAUUUGACUCGGGAUUUAUUUUGGUUCGCCUUUCCUCUGUUGUGCUGUAAACUAAUUACUAUAAUUGACCCCAAGGAUGAUUGCUUUAAUGGAUAGACGAGUGUUAUUAAAGCAAGUGUUCAUAACGGUACAUCAAACAAAUUCAAGGUGAAGCUUGGUUCAUAAUGUGAUAACUAGGCUUCGUUUGGUUGCGGUAAUGAGAAAGUUUGCUCUCUAAAAUUACUUUAACGAGAUAAGUUGUAUAGAGAUAGUCAACAUUUCAUUCAGCUUUUUACUUGUCAAACCUAGUCUCAAAUUACAUUUUGACAUACCGCCCGUUGGUUUACAGCUGACGGCUCUACCAGUGAGCUAGUCCGAGUAUUAACUCCCUUCAGGAAGUUGCCUC
rnacentral:lncRNA from 1 species